rnacentral:rRNA from 1 species
UACGUAGGGGGCGAGCGUUGUCCGGAGUUACUGGGGCGUAAAGGGCGUGCAGGCGGUGCGGUAAGUUCAGAGUGACAGUAUCCGGCUUAACUGGAUAAGGCCUCUGAAAACUGCCGGACUUGAGGGCCAGAGAGGGACAUAGAAAUUCCGGGUGGAGUGGUGAAAUGCGUAGAUAUCCGGAGGAAAUACCAAAGGCGAAGGGCA